rnacentral:rRNA from 1 species
CUGGCCUCAAAUCAAGUAGGACUACCCGCUGAACUUAAGCAUAUCAAUAAGCGGAGGAAAAGAAACUAACAAGGAUUCCCCUAGUAACGGCGAGUGAAGCGGGAAGAGCUCAAAUUUGAAAUCUGGUGGCCUCAGGUCAUCCGAGUUGUAAUCUAUAGAAGUGUUUUCCGUGCUGGCUCAUGUACAAGUCCCUUGGAACAGGGCGUCAUAGAGGGUGAGAAUCCCGUCCUUGACAUGAACUACCAGUGCUCUGUGAUACAUUUUCAACGAGUCGAGUUGUUUGGGAAUGCAGCUCAAAAUGGGUGGUAAAUUCCAUCUAAAGCUAAAUAUUGGCGAGAGACCGAUAGCGAACAAGUACCGUGAGGGAAAGAUGAAAAGCACUUUGGAAAGAGAGUUAAACAGUAUGUGAAAUUGUUGAAAGGGAAACGAUUGAAGUCAGUCGUGCUCUUUGGAUUCAGCCGGUUCUGCCGGUGUACUUCCUUUGAGUGGGGUCAACAUCAGUUUUGAUCGCUGGAUAAAGGCUGGAGGAACGUAGUACCCUCGGGUAAACUUAUAGCCUCCUGUCACAUACAGUGGUUGGGACUGAGGAACGCAGCACGCCUUUAUGGCCGGGAUUCGUCCACGUACGUG